UUUUUUUUUUUUUUUUGUUUUUUUUUUGUUUUUUUUGUUUUUUUGUCUUUUUGUCUUUUAUAGGGCCACACUCGUGGCAUAUGGAGCCCUAGAAAAGGCAAAAAGACAAAAAAAAACAAAAAACAAAAAACACUCAGAUGAGGUUAUUAUUAUUGGCAGUGUAUGCAUGGCAAUGAGAGAUAGUAAAUAGAAAAAAAUAAAAACAGAAAGACAAAAAAACCAUGUGAACACAGCUUUUAUUUUUCUGGCAAGGAAACUCCACUUUUUCUUUUUUAGCUAAAGGUGCGUUCGCAGGGAGUCUCCGUGUGCUUUUAGAGAGCCAGUGUUGUCUAUGCUAUUCCCUCAGACAUUGCCUCAGUGUGGCCCCACAGAGGUGUGCCCUGAAUUGGGUGGGAGAGCCAUCGCCUGAGCUUCUCCCUCAUUAACGCCUGACCUGAUGCAUCACAGGAUGCAAAGCUUUGGAGGACUGUUCACCGGCCCUGCACAUAUUGAGCAGGCACUGCAAAUGCUGUGGCCCACAAAUACUCUUAACAGGAGCCAAAGUACCUCCUGGGAAUUCACAAAGGUGGUUUGAGUACAUGGUCUACGUCGAGGUCUAACAAAUAAGGUUUAAAACCUUCAGGAGCUCUAAGGGAUUUCAGUAAUAUGGGCAAAGGAUUGAAUGAAUGAUACUCAGCCAGGAUCCCAUUCCCUACGGUCAUCAAUCAUAAAUGAACAUGAUGGUAUUCCAUCUCUUUGAUCACACCUGCUCAUUGGAGGUGGAGGUGCAACUUAAUCUACUAUGGCCACUGGUAUAGCCCCUAGCUUUGGCUUCCUAGCACUAUCAGUCAUACCUGUGUAUCAUACAUGGACCAUUGCACAACCUUCCCCCACACCCAAAUUAGAUUUUCAGCUUCUCCAGUGUUUUGGGGAUUUAAAAACACAGUUUUUUUUCUUAAAAACUUCCUAGUAUAUCAAUAGUGAGCAAAUACUCAAAAGAUAUUUGUGGCUAAUGAUGGCAUAUGUAUCUACUUAUUAAUUUUAAUAAAUACCAGGUAUGUGUCAAGUUCAAGGCAUAUGGAAUUUGUUACGAAUCUUACCCUUCAUCAGCAUAUAGUUUUUAAUAAGCCAUAUUCUAUUUGGCUUGUGCCAGAGAAAAAACUUG
rnacentral:lncRNA from 1 species